rnacentral:lncRNA from 1 species
ACCCGCCAGCCCCGCGCUCUACCAGGCAGAGCGCGUGUGGCCGCCGAGCACAUGGACCCACUGGUCAAGCGGGCUCGGCAAGGCCAGGAUGAAGAGAAGCUACGAACUUAGCAUUCCCAGAGCCCCCCGAGUGGAUAUCCGCGUGGAAAGGAUGUUGGCAGCCCCGGUGACCUCGGAGUCACGGCUGGAUCCACCCUCUUAGAGCCGAGUUCUGUCACCACAGACAUUGGCAGUGGCACUUGCAUGCCCCUGGCAAGCAGUCUAUCCUGAGGUGGAGGAAGUUGCCCUUGAGUUCUGGCUGGUAACCAGCACAGGGGCUGGGACACUGCCUGAUUGAGGUGGCCAUUGAGAAUUCAAGUGUACCUCUUGGUCCCUGAUGCAGAAAUGAAGUCCCCAGCAUGCUCAAGAAGAGCUUCCUUGGAGGAUGAGAGGCAUGGGAAUCUAAGUAUACCCUUUAAGCGUUCCAGAAGGAUUUUGAGAUCCUUUCCUAAAUCAAAGGUGGAAUAUUUGGGGAUUUGGAAAAUUGAGAUGUGAAGCGUUGACUUAAGAGAUGCCAAGUAACUCAGCAGAUGUCACACAGACGAUAAAUAGCAAAGAUGGAAGUCUUCAUGCCGGAGGCAAUCCUAUAAGACAGCUGAGUUCUGCAGAGCUGGUAGGAGACAGACUUGCUCAGGUGAUAGAUCCAGCCAUGAUACUGACCCUAAGAGAAUGAGACGCUCUGCAGAAGACAGAAGAUUCCUGAAACUGGGAAAGGUGCCUAGAAAUCCUGAUAAGAGUGAAGAAGGAGCUGGCAGAGCAGCCUUCCUCCGCACUAUGAAAGACAUCCAACAGAGAGCAAGUUCCCACCUCACUUCCAGCUUGACUCCUUUUUAUCUCCUAACUGUGGUCUGUGAUGUCUUCAGCAAUGGUAUUAACUAGUUCUGGGUACCUGGAGGCACAGCAGCCAUGUUGAACCUAUGAGGUGAUGAAAAACCAUGCAACUAGAAACCAGAAUGGAAGAAAAGAAGAAGCUGGAUCCUUGACUGAAUUGUCGAUGGGGGAUAGUCCAUCAUCCCAGGGCUAAGACCACCUCCAGAUUUCUUGUUUGGUGAAACAAGUCCUGAUUGUUUACAUUCCCUCGUGUUGAGCUGUCUCUUGCUUGUAGCUGAAAGCAUUUCUAAUAGAUAUUCAGAUUAUCAGCCUUAGCUCCAAGCUAGAAUACUCUAUGGGACCUUAGCUUCUCCAUGAAUUCCUUUGCUCAUCUGUGUAAUGCUCAAUAAAUGUAAAUUGAACCCUGAAUGAGGGACAAUGACACUA